AACGCGAAGAACCUUACCCAGACUUGACAUGCACAGGACAGCUGCAGAAAUGUAGUCUCUCUUCGGAGCCUGUGCACAGGUGCUGCAUGGCUGUCGUCAGCUCGUGCCGUGAGGUGUUUGGUUAAGUCCAGCAACGAGCGCAACCCUUAUCACUAGUUGCCAACACGUAAUGGUGGGAACUCUAGUGAGACUGCCUGGGUUAACCAGGAGGAAGGUGAGGAUGACGUCAAGUCCGCAUGGCCCUUAUGUCUGGGGCUACACACGUGCUACAAUGGUCGGUACAGAAGGCAGCGAAACCGCAAGGCGAAGCAAAUCCCCAAAACCGAUCCCAGUUCAGAUUGUAGUCUGCAACUCGACUACAUGAAGACGGAAUUGCUAGUAAUGGCAGGUCAGCAACACUGCCGGAAUACGUUCCCGGGUCUGACCACCAAGG
rnacentral:rRNA from 1 species